GCAAACUUGGUCAUUUAGAGGAAGUAAAAGUCGUAACAAGGUCUCCGUAGGUGAACCUGCGGAGGGAUCAUUACCGAGCUCGCGCCCCCGGGCCGACCUCCCACCCGUGCGAUCGCUACGACCGUUGCUUUGGCGGGCCACCGCGCCCGCCAGAGGCCCGCAGACCCUCGAUGUCCGCGUCGUCCGAGCGCCAUGUAAUCGUUAAAACUUUCAACAACGGAUCUCUUGGUUCUGGCAUCGAUGAAGAACGCAGC
rnacentral:misc_RNA from 1 species